GAAGGUGUGGAAAUAUGUGUGAGACCACCUUGUUGAUUAUACCCAAAGCCGGCUGUAAAGCGUUAACCCCACAAUUGGCUUUUGUUUCGAGAAAGGAGUCUGGACAAAGCCUACAUGCCAAGGUUUUUCUUAGCUCAUCUGGUGAGCCACUACAGCCUUUUUCGGCUGAAGGAUCCACAUGAAGACAGAGAUCUCCUCACUCUCAGCACCUCAGAAAGAAUUGUAGGGAUUUAUGUCUCUCAGGGGGAAACAAGGUGGGAGAUUAGGGCAUGGCAAUCAGCUGGGCAACUGGGCCUAACCUGUCAAUCACAGCCAGGACGCAUGGGCAGAACAGCUUCUGAGCCCUGAUCAGUCAUCAGAAUGGUGUAUAAAAGACCCGGCUGUCCUGGUGUGGUGACUCAUGCCUGUAAGCCCAGCACUCAGGAGGCUGAGGCAGGAGGAUCACUGAAAGUUUGAGGCCAGCUUGGGCUACACGGUGAGUACAAGGCCAGGCUGAAUUACAGAGUGAGACUCUGUCUAAAAAAACAAACAACAAAAACCUAGCCAUGAAGCUCACGGCUGCUGUAACCCCUUUGACCAAUCUGCCUUACACUUUAUAGGACAUUUCUUUUCCUACCUUAAUGGACCUCACUUGCUCCACAGAGCACACUUUUCCUACUUUUACCUUUAAUCCUUCCUUCAAUACCUU
rnacentral:lncRNA from 1 species